CUUUAGUUUUACAAAGGUGGUUUUGGGAAUAACUAUUAUCAUCCAUGGCUGGUCAGGGUGGCUCACACCUAUAAUUCCAGCACUUUAGGAGGCCAAGGCAGGCAGAUCACUUGAGGUCAUGAGUUUGAGACCAGCCUGGCCAACAUGAUGAAACCCUGUCUCUACUAAAAAUUAAAAAAAUUAGCCAGGCAUUGUGGAAGAUGCCUGUGAUUCCAGCUACUCGGGAGGUUGAGGCAGGAGAAUCACUUGAACCAGGAAGGCAGAUUUUGCAGUGAGCUGCGAUCACACCACCGCACUCCAGCCUGGGUGACAGAGCAAGAUUCCAUCUCAAAACAAAAAACAAAAAACCCUAAUAUCAUCCUUGCUUUCAAGUUAAACUAUAAACUAAAUUUCUCCCAAAGUUAGCUUGGCCUACCCCUGGGAAUGACCAAGGACAACUUGGAGGCUAGAAGCAAAAUGGAAUCAACUAUGUCAGAUUUCUCUUACUGUCAUAAUUUUGCAAAGGCAGUUUCAAAAAUUCUACCACAGUCCUUUCCACUUUAUUCAUGAUUUCACACGGUUUAAUGAAACAUAUCUAUUAAAGACUUUUAAUAGGCUAGAUUUAACUUAAUGUUUAUUGAAGAUAAACCUCCUUUUCUUUACCUAUUAUUAUAAACAAUAUUUGGUCCAGGUCAACUAUAAGGUGCAUGAACAUGUAAACACCAUCAAUGCUUCCAGCUAUAGAUAUUUAAUUAACUUCGAAAAAAAAAAAUCACACCACCUGCACCUGGGAGAAAGCUGUAACUCCCACUAUCUCAUGAAAUAUGCUAUCCAUCUGUAUACAAGCAGCUGAAAAAGCAGAAACUAAAUCCUUACCAUCCACAAUCAGAAUUCAACCCACUUGCUUUUCUAAUGAGAAUAGGACUAGAAUCUUUUUUUUCAUUACAUAAAAUCUAAAUUUCACUCUCCCCCAUAUCACAAAUAAUCCUUCAUUUUAUUUAAGGACUAACUGCAAUUUAUUACACUAGGUUUCUCAAUUCCUACACCUAGGAGUUGGAAUAAAUUCAGCAUUUGACACUUCAGAUUAAUUAAUUUGCGAUUUCCUCUAACAGCUUUGUCCUCCAACAUAAAGCUCUUCCUAUUUCAAAGUCCAUGUGGCCUAUUUUACUGUUUUCUAAUUUUUCAUUUCUGUUCUUAAGCCACCUUUACUCCUCAGAGAUUUGUGAAGCAGAGGACUGAUAAGCUUCUCUGAAAACAAUAAAUAAACAGAACUUCCUGACUCAGUUUAUCAACACUGUCAUAAACACAGCUGAAUUCUUUCUUCCAAGAAGAAUCAAGGACCAAGGAUCCCAUUUGAAUUCUCCACUGGUAUCAGGACUCCUGCAACAGAAGACAGAUUAACAGCAGAAAAGCAAACAUAAGUUUAAUAACAGAAAGAAGACUGAGGAAUGUAACCACAUCUGGAUGGAUUUUGUCACAAGACAUUGUCUGUAUCUAGGGCUCAUUCAGGUUACAAAGACAUUGUUUACAAGACAAUAUCUGCCUUCUGCCUCCAUUCAAUUCUCCUGAAAAUAAUUUACUACCUCGAAAAAUUGCCACAUUUCCUUUUCCCCUCUGAAGGCUGGUAUGUAAGCAUCUGGACCUCAGUAAGUUAUUGCGUAAGGAUUCUCCUGUUAUUCCCCUGUGCUUAUAGAUAGUAAAUAAAUUUGUACGCCUUUUUCUUCUGUUAAUCUGCUGAUUGUCAGUUCAUUUUCAGCAAACCUUCAGAGGGUGACAGGGAAGCCUUCUCUUCUCCCCUACAGAUUUGGCAUAGUUAGCAAGAUAUUCCAGAAGCCACAGUCCAGUGAACCCAGUGAUACCAGUGGACUGGGAAAGGUACUUGAACUCCAGUGGGAUCUCAACCCCAACCAGUAACCAGGCUCCUGACACCAUCAAGAGAAAGAAUUCAAGGAUGAGUCAGAAAAUAGUGCAAGCAUGGAGAUUUAUUGCAAAGGGCAAAGUACACACUCAAGAGAGGGGAAAGCAGGCGAACUCGAGAGGAG
rnacentral:lncRNA from 10 species